rnacentral:rRNA from 1 species
GAUGAACGCUGGCGGCGUGCCUAAUACAUGCAAGUCGAGCGAACAGACGAGGAGCUUGCUCCUCUGACGUUAGCGGCGGACGGGUGAGGAACACGUGGAUAACCUACCUACAAGACUGGGAUAACUUCGGGAAACCGGAGCUAAUACCGGAUAAUAUAUUGAACCGCAUGGUUCAAUAGUGAAAUACGGUUUUGCUGUCACUUAUAGAUGGAUCCGCGCCGCAUUAGCUAGUUGGUAAGGUAACGGCUUACCAAGGCAACGAUGCGUAGCCGACCUGAGAGGGUGAUCGGCCACACUGGAACUGAGACACGGUCCAGACUCCUACGGGAGGCAGCAGUAGGGAAUCUUCCGCAAUGGGCGAAAGCCUGACGGAGCAACGACGCGUGAGUGAUGAAGGUCUUCGGAUCGUAAAACUCUGUUAUUAGGGAAGAAGAAAUGUGUAAGUAACUAUGCACGUCUUGACGGUACCUAAACAAAAAGCCACGGCUAACUACGUG